GCUGUUCUGAACACGUCACAUGACUCUCCUGCUCUCCUCUAACAGGAAGUCUCCUCUCUGAAGAACAGUAUUCUGGGUAUGAGCAUGUGGAUGAUGAGCUUCUCUCAGUAAAGUCUGGGAUUGGAGAAAAGGCUGAGGAUUAUGAUGAUGUCAUCGACACCAGUGACUUCAUAAGUGCUACAGGAAGAGUGGAGGCACCAGAGGACUACGAUGAUGCCGUCACUGCUGGACCGAUCC